GAUGAACGCUGGCGGCGUGCCUAAUACAUGCAAGUCGAGCGAACAGAUGAGGAGCUUGCUCCUCUGACGUUAGCGGCGGACGGGUGAGUAACACGUGGAUAACCUACCUAUAAGACUGGGAUAACUUCGGGAAACCGGAGCUAAUACCGGAUAAUAUAUUGAACCGCAUGGUUCAAUAGUGAAAGACGGUUUUGCUGUCACUUAUAGAUGGAUCCGCGCCGCAUUAGCUAGUUGGUAAGGUAACGGCUUACCAAGGCAACGAUGCGUAGCCGACCUGAGAGGGUGAUCGGCCACACUGGAACUGAGACACGGUCCAGACUCCUACGGGAGGCAGCAGUAGGGAAUCUUCCGCAAUGGGCGAAAGCCUGACGGAGCCACGCCGCGUGAGUGAUGAAGGUCUUCGGAUCGUAAAACUCUGUUAUUAGGGAAGAACAAAUGUGUAAGUAACUAUGCACGUCUUGACGGUACCUAAUCAGAAAGCCCCGGCUAACUACGUG
rnacentral:rRNA from 1 species